UUAUAAUUCACUGCUGUCAAAUGAAUAUUACCCGGUAUUUGUUAUUUGGUUUUUGGGAUUUUGUUUUCUGAAAACUAAGAUAUUUCUGUUAUCUUUCCAAGAGGAGCUAUACAUUCAACAAUGCAAAAAAAAUAAAGUCUCCCUCAACAUAUGAUGUUUAUGAUUUUAAGUUGAUAAAAUCAUUGCAUAACGUUGCAUUUAUGACAAGGGAAGUCUCAUAACAAAUGCUGCCAUGUAUAUAAGCAUCCUUACUAGUAGUACAUAUGUAUGACAACAUUUGGCUUUUAGGACAAAGAUCUUGAGUAUCACAUACAUCUUAUAAUACUGAAGCAGAUUAUGUUAUUGAUCUCUGUUCAUACUGGCAAGGAUAUUACAAUAGUGUUGUUUUAUGAUAUAAUAUAUGUGUUUAUUCACAUUCUAAACUUGUCAUCAGUGAUCUCAAUAUUAGAAAUCAUACAUGUAUUCAAUGUCUUCAGGAUUUUCAGGUUUGUAUCCAAAAGGGCAGACAAUAUUCCUUUGACAGCCUACUGUCAUUGUACUAGUGUUUUCUUCAUGUGGUGGACGGUCUCAAGCUAAGUGAGGCAGAAGGAGACCUAGAUUCCAUCUCAUCACCAAAAUGUUUGUUCCCUAUGAUGGACUGUCUCAAGCUAAGUGAGGCAGAAGGAGACCUAGAUUCCAUCUCAUCACCAAAAUGUUUGUUCCCUAUGAUGGACUGUCUCAAGCUAAGAGAGGCAGAAGGAGACCUAGAUUCCAUCUCAUCACCAAAAUGUUUGUUCCCUAUGAUGGACUGUCUCAAGCUAAGAGAGGCAGAAGGAGACCUGGAUUCCAUCUCAUCACCAAAAUGUUUGUACACUAUGAUGGAAUGUCUCAAGCUAAGAGAGGCAGGAGACCUAGAUUCCUUCUCAUCACCAAAAUGUUUGUACACUAUGAUGGAAUGUCUCAAGCUAAGAGAGGCAGGAGACCUAGAUUCCUUCUCAUCACCAAAAUGUUUGUUCCCUGUGAUGGACUGUCUCAAGUUCACAGGAAGAACCACAGAUUCCAAUGUGUUUGUAGCCUUAGAUACUUUCAUAACAUUCCAUUCUCUCAUUAAAGUUAAGUAGACAGACAUAUUACAAAAUAACUACCUGGUAUGGUUAUAAAAGGGCUUCUUUUUUAAGAAAGAUUGUUAAAAGGGAAAAUAAAAUUAGUGAUAUGAAAUGACUUAAUUCUGGUCUAAUAUGAGUGUAUAGAUAUCUGCAAUUUUAUUCUGUGAUAGAAACUUGUACGUGAAAACCUAGUAUGCUUGCCAUUAAUGAAAGAGAAAGUAUUGUAUCUGAUAUCAAUAUCGGUGUGAUAUUGUGUGUACAUCAGUCACUGUUUUACCUAGUGAUCUUGGUUGAAUAAUGUAUACUGCAUAGUUAUUAAAUUACAUGGGCUAAUAUUUUGCAGUUGGCCCAUUUAGCUCUAGUUCAUGGGAAAUACAUUUUUACUAUCAUGCCUUGUUAACAUUCUGUGGUAAAAACUUCUAUACAUUUGUUUGUAUAAUUUUUAUAUACUUAUUCCCUCAGUAUUAUUUUUUGCAUGUACCUGUAAUGACUGUGAAUAUAUCGAAAUUAAAUUCCUCACAAAUAAUACCAACUAUGAACUAUGCAGAAGUGUAGAACUGUCAUAGGUUAAUGAUACUUUAUAUGUAAUACAUUAACUUACUCAUGAUGACCUGAUGCUCCGUAACAACCCCACCUUUGUAAAACACAGAAUCACAGAUAGAGAAAGAAAAGGGAGAAAAGAAAGAAAAAGGGGGAAGAAUUGGUAAAAUGAGUAUUAUCUAAUAUAUACAUUAGGCUGAUAAUAAGGUUUUUGAAAUCAGGCUUUUUAAUUCAAUUUUAAGUAUUUUUCUGUUAUCUGAUUUUUUCUUCUUUCCUUUUUGAACUGUUUUCUUAAGUUCCUGAUUAAAUCAUACAAUGCACAAUACAAAGACUCAGCAAAGUUGUUAUUAACAGUAAAAACUAAUUUCAAAAUCAUUUUCAUUAGUACUAGUGAUGAUAUAACCUUAUCCUUUACCAUGUUAAUAUUGAUGAUAUUUCACAGGUAAGAAUGUAAUAGUAUUACUAUUUCUAUUUCACAGGUAAGAAUGUAAUAACAUUACUAUUUCUAUUUCACAGGUAAGAAUGUAAUAACAUUACUAUUUCUAUAUAUAGGCAUAGUCAGUAUUGGUACAACAGGUCUCCUUGUCUUUUGUUACAUGACUAUCAGUGAAGUAAGCCCCAUUAACAAAUAACCAAUCAAUACAAUGCCUAUUGUUUAUAUGGUAUUAAAUACUAGCCAGUAAGUAUUGUUAUUAUUGCUGCAACAAAAUCUGUGUAUAUGAUAGUAUCCUGUUUGUAUUGUGAACACCAUUUAUUUGAAAGCUUAAUUCAUGCUACAUUGGACCACAUUUAAACAAAUAUUCCAAAUAGUAGUUCAACCAGAUUUAUUUAAAACACAUUUUUGAAGUAACUCGAACAAUGAAGGAAGGGAUUGUGGACUAUGGCAGACAUUCAGUUGGUUGGUUUUUUUUAUUUCUUGCUUACCCCAGUAUAUUAUAAAACCAAAUAUUGUAAAAAUCCAUUUCACUAUCUUGGUCUCAAAAAAAAAUUUGUUUCAAGUUACAAUAAACACAAAUAAAAAACAGGCUCAUUACAGCUUUUUGUUGCUUCAUGUUGGUAAAGCUCACUGUAAUACCUACAUGUUGGUGAAGUUCACUGUAAUACCUACAUGUUGGUGAAGUUCACUGUUUACCAACAUGUUGGUGAAGUUCACUGUAAUACCUACAUGUUGGUGAAGUUCACUGUAAUACUUCAUUGUGUAAUACCUACAUGUUGGUGAAGUUCACUGUAAUACCUACAUGUUGGUGAAGUUCAUUGUGUAAUACCUACAUGUUGGUGAAGUUCAUUGUGUAAUACCUACAUGUUGGUGAAGAUCAUUGUGUAAUACCUACAUGUUGGUGAAGUUCACUGUGUAAUACCUACAUGUUGGUGAAGUUCACUGUAAUACCAACAUGUUGGUGAAGUUCAUUGUGUAAUACCUACAUGUUGGUGAAGUUCAUUGUGUAAUAUCUACAUGUUGGUGAAGUUCAUUGUGUAAUACCUACAUGUUGGUGAAGUUCAUUGUGUAAUACCUACAUGUUGGUGAAGUUCACUGUAAUACCAACAUGUUGGUGAAGUUCACUGUAAUACCAACAUUUUGUUGAAGUUCACUGUAAUACCUACAUGUUGGUGAAGUUCAUUGUGUGAUACCUACAUGUUGGUGAAGUUCACUGUAAUACCAACAUGUUGAAGUUCACUGUAAUACCUACAUGUUGGUGAAGUUCAUUGUGUAAUACCUACAUGUUGGUGAAGUUCAUUGUGUAAUACCUACAUGUUGGUGAAGUUCACUGUAAUACCAACAUGUUGGUUAAGUUCACUGUAAUACCAACAUGUUGUUGAAGUUCACUGUAAUACCUACAUGUUUGUUAAGUUCACUGUAAUACCUACAUGUUGGUUAAGUUCACUGUAAUACCUACAUGUUGGUGAAGUUCACUGUAAUACCUACAUGUUGGUGAAGAUCAUUGUGUAAUACCUACAUGUUGGUGAAGUUCACUAUAAUACCAACAUGUUGGUGAAGAUCAUUGUGUAAUACCUACAUAUUGGCGAAGUUCACUGUAAUACCUACAUGUUGGUGAAGUUCAUUGUGUAAUACCUUCAUGUUGGUGAAGUUCACUGUAAUACCAACAUGUUGGUGAAGUUCACUGUAAUACUUCAUUGUAUAAUACCUAUGUGUUGGUGAAGAUCACUGUGUAAUACCUACAUUAUGGUGAAGUUCACUGUAAUACCUACAUGUUGGUGAAGUUCACUGUAAUACCAACAUGUUGGUGAAGUUCACUGUAAUACUUCAUUGUAUAAUACCUAUGUGUUGGUGAAGAUCACUGUGUAAUACCUACAUGUUGGUGAAGUUCACUGUAAUACCUACAUGUUGGUGAAGUUCAUUGUGUAAUACCUACAUGUUGGUGAAGUUCACUGUAAUACCUACAUAUUGGUGAAGUUCAUUGUGUAAUACCUACAUGUUGGUGAAGUUCAUUGUAAUACCUACAUGUUGGUGAAGUUCAUUGUAAUACCUACAUGUUGGUGAAGUUCACUGUAAUACCUACAUGUUGGUGAAGUUCACUGUAAUACCUACAUAUUGGUGAAGUUCACUGUAAUAUCUACAUGUUGGUGAAGUUCAUUGUGUAAUACCUACAUGUUGGUGAAGUUCACUGUAAUACCAACAUGUUGGUGAAGAUUAUUGUGUGAUACCUACAUAUUGGUGAAGUUCACUGUAAUACCUACAUGUUGGUGAAGAUCAUUGUGUAAUACCUACAUGUUGGUGAAGUUCACUAUAAUACCAACAUGUUGGUGAAGAUCAUUGUGUAAUACCUACAUGUUGGUGAAGUUCACUGUAAUACCAACAUGUUGGUGAAGAUUAUUGUGUGAUACCUACAUAUUGGUGAAGUUCACUGUAAUACCUACAUGUUGGUGAAGAUCAUUGUGUGAUACCCACAUGUUGGCGAAGUUCAUUGUAUAGUGUCUGUAUAUUAGUAAAAAUUCCCCAUGUAAUACCAUACCUCUGAUAUCAUAUUGAUAAGUAUGUAUUAAGAUUUCACUGUGUGUAGUCAGAGCAGAAUAACCUGUCAUCUUGGACUGCAAUUUAAGGUUAAUCAGUCAUUUUUGUUGAGAAUGGUAACCAAGUAAACAAUGUGCACAGAGGCUUGUAUACUCCUACAAAUGAGCAUGUGUGCAUACUUAAACCACACAUUUAGUUAAUUAUUAUGUCCUGGUUCAAAUGAGUUUACUUCAUGUUUUAUGAUUAAUGUAAGUUUUCUAAAGUGUUUUGCAUAUUUGCAAUAUGCACAGCAAUGUAUGAUGUUCAGAUUGCAAUUAAAGUCAAUAUAAAACAC